rfam:[Clostridium] litorale DSM 5388 strain W6 CLIT_5c, whole genome shotgun sequence.
UGGUUGGCAUCGUAAAGAGUCAAACUAAAUAAUAUAUUAUUGUUAGACAAUAAAACAAAAUAUUGGUCUUUUGUUUUACUUGCUUUGAUCCUUUCGGACAAAGACUUUAUA